rnacentral:rRNA from 1 species
UACGGAGGGGGCGAGCGUUAUUCGGAAUUAUUGGGCGUAAAGGGUGCGUAGGCGGCUGUACAAGUCAAAGGUGAAAUCCCUCGGCUCAACUGAGGAACUGCCUUUGAAACUGUACGGCUUGAGGCCGGGAGGGGGUAGCGGAAUUCCCAGUGCAGCGGUGAAAUGCGUAGAUAUUGGGAGGAACACCUGUGGCGAAAGCGGCGCACUGGACCACAACUGACGCUGAGGCGCGAAAGCUAGGGGAGCAAACAGG